UACAGAGACUGCAAGCGUUAUUCGGAUUCCCUGGGCGUAAAGGGUGCGCAGGCGGCCAAGUGUGUGAGGCGUGAAAGCCCGGGGCUUAACCCCGGAAUUGCACCUCAAACUACAUGGCUAGAGCAUUGGAGAGGGUAGCAGAAUUCAUGGUGUAGCAGUGAAAUGCGUAGAUAUCAUGAGGAAUACCAGAGGCGAAGGCGGCUACCUGGACAAUUGCUGACGCUCAGGCACGAAAGCGUGGGGAGCAAACAGG
rnacentral:rRNA from 1 species